rnacentral:rRNA from 1 species
GAUGAACGCUGGCGGCGUGCCUAAUACAUGCAAGUCGAGCGAACAGAUGAGGAGCUUGCUCCUCUGACGUUAGCGGCGGACGGGUGAGUAACACGUGGAUAACCUACCUAUAAGACUGGGAUAACUUCGGGAAACCGGAGCUAAUACCGGAUAAUAUAUUGAACCGCAUUGUUCAAUAUUGAAAGACGGUUUUGCUGUCACUUAUAGAUGGAUCCGCGCCGCAUUAGCUAGUUGGUAAGGUAACGGCUUACCAAGGCAACGAUGCGUAGCCGACCUGAGAGGGUGAUCGGCCACACUGGAACUGAGACACGGUCAAGACUCCUACGGGAGGCAGCAGUAGGGAAUCUUCCGCAAUGGGCGAAAGCCUGACGGAGCAACGCCGCGUGAGUGAUGAAGGUCUUCGGAUCGUAAAACUCUGUUAUUAGGGAAGAACAAAUGUGUAAGUAACUAUGCACGUCUUGACGGUACCUAAUCAGAAAGCCACGGCUAACUACGUG